rnacentral:rRNA from 1 species
AUACGGAGGGUGCAAGCGUUACUCGGAAUCACUGGGCGUAAAGCGCGCGCAGGCGGCUAUUUAAGUUGGAUGUGAAAGCCUACGGCUCAACCGUAGAACUGCAUCCAAAACUAUUUAGCUAGAGUGUGAGAGAGGAAGAUGGAAUUAGUUGUGUAGGGGUAAAAUCCGUAGAGAUAACUAGGAAUACCAAAAGCGAAGGCAAUCUUCUGGAACACUACUGACGCUGAGGCGCGAAAGCGUGGGGAGCAAACAGAAUUAGAAACCCUUGUAGUCC